rnacentral:rRNA from 1 species
UACGUAGGUGGCAAGCGUUGUCCGGAAUUAUUGGGCGUAAAGCGCGCGCAGGUGGUUUCUUAAGUCUGAUGUGAAAGCCCACGGCUCAACCGUGGAGGGUCAUUGGAAACUGGGGAACUUGAGUGCAGGAGAGAAGAGUGGAAUUCCACGUGUAGCGGUGAAAUGCGUAGAGAUGUGGAGGAACACCAGUGGCGAAGGCGGCAUCCUGGACCGGCAUUGACGCUGAGGCGCGAAAGCCAGGGGAGCAAACGGG